UCUCUAAGCAACGGAUGUCUUGGCUCCUCACACGAUGAAGAACGUGGCAUAAUGUGUUAAGUAACCGGAGUUGCAAACAUCAUGACAGGUUAAUCUUUGAAUGCAAAUUGCGCUUACCCGGCUUCGGCCGAGGAGCAUGCGUGUAACAGUACAACAUAAUUUAUAA
rnacentral:rRNA from 1 species